AGGACGAACGCUGGCGGCGUGCCUAAUACAUGCAAGUCGAGCGGACCGACGGGAGCUUGCUCCCUUAGGUCAGCGGCGGACGGGUGAGUAACACGUGGGUAACCUGCCUGUAAGACUGGGAUAACUCCGGGAAACCGGGGCUAAUACCGGAUGCUUGAUUGAACCGCAUGGUUCAAUCAUAAAAGGUGGCUUUUAGCUACCACUUACAGAUGGACCCGCGGCGCAUUAGCUAGUUGGUGAGGUAACGGCUCACCAAGGCGACGAUGCGUAGCCGACCUGAGAGGGUGAUCGGCCACACUGGGACUGAGACACGGCCCAGACUCCUACGGGAGGCAGCAGUAGGGAAUCUUCCGCAAUGGACGAAAGUCUGACGGAGCAACGCCGCGUGAGUGAUGAAGGUUUUCGGAUCGUAAAACUCUGUUGUUAGGGAAGAACAAGUACCGUUCGAAUAGGGCGGCACCUUGACGGUACCUAACCAGAAAGCCACGGCUAACUACGUGCCAGCAGCCGCGGUAAUACGUAGGUGGCAAGCGUUGUCCGGAAUUAUUGGGCGUAAAGCGCGCGCAGGCGGUUUCUUAAGUCUGAUGUGAAAGCCCCCGGCUCAACCGGGGAGGGUCAUUGGAAACUGGGGAACUUGAGUGCAGAAGAGGAGAGUGGAAUUCCACGUGUAGCGGUGAAAUGCGUAGAGAUGUGGAGGAACACCAGUGGCGAAGGCGACUCUCUGGUCUGUAACUGACGCUGAGGCGCGAAAGCGUGGGGAGCGAACAGGAUUAGAUACCCUGGUAGUCCACGCCGUAAACGAUGAGUGCUAAGUGUUAGAGGGUUUCCGCCCUUUAGUGCUGCAGCAAACGCAUUAAGCACUCCGCCUGGGGAGUACGGUCGCAAGACUGAAACUCAAAGGAAUUGACGGGGGCCCGCACAAGCGGUGGAGCAUGUGGUUUAAUUCGAAGCAACGCGAAGAACCUUACCAGGUCUUGACAUCCUCUGACAACCCUAGAGAUAGGGCUUCCCCUUCGGGGGCAGAGUGACAGGUGGUGCAUGGUUGUCGUCAGCUCGUGUCGUGAGAUGUUGGGUUAAGUCCCGCAACGAGCGCAACCCUUGAUCUUAGUUGCCAGCAUUCAGUUGGGCACUCUAAGGUGACUGCCGGUGACAAACCGGAGGAAGGUGGGGGAUGACGUCAAAUCAUCAUGCCCCUUAUGACCUGGGCUACACACGUGCUACAAUGGGCAGAACAAAGGGCAGCGAAGCCGCGAGGCUAAGCCAAUCCCACAAAUCUGUUCUCAGUUCGGAUCGCAGUCUGCAACUCGACUGCGUGAAGCUGGAAUCGCUAGUAAUCGCGGAUCAGCAUGCCGCGGGUGAAUACGUUCCCGGGCCUUGUACACACCGCCCGUCACACCACGAAGAGUUUGUAACACCCGAAGUCGGUGAGGUAACCUUUUGGAGCCAGCCGCCGAAGGUGGGACAAUGAUUGGG
rnacentral:rRNA from 1 species